rnacentral:rRNA from 1 species
GAUGAACGCUGGCGGCGUGCUUAACACAUGCAAGUCGAACGAUGAAGCCCAGCUUGCUGGGUGGAUUAGUGGCGAACGGGUGAGUAACACGUGAGUAACCUGCCCUUGACUCUGGGAUAAGCCCGGGAAACUGGGUCUAAUACCGGAUAGGAGCGCCUGUCGCAUGACGGGUGUUGGAAAGAUUUUUCGGUCAUGGAUGGACUCGCGGCCUAUCAGCUUGUUGGUGAGGUAAUGGCUCACCAAGGCGACGACGGGUAGCCGGCCUGAGAGGGUGACCGGCCACACUGGGACUGAGACACGGCCCAGACUCCUACGGGAGGCAGCAGUGGGGAAUAUUGCACAAUGGGCGGAAGCCUGAUGCAGCGACGCCGCGUGAGGGAUGACGGCCUUCGGGUUGUAAACCUCUUUCAGUAGGGAAGAAGCGAAAGUGACGUACCUGCAGAGAG